rnacentral:rRNA from 1 species
UUCGCAAUGCCCGAAAGGGUGACGAAGCGACGCCGCGUGGGUGAGGAAGGCCCUCGGGUUGUAAAGCCCUGUCAGGAGUUAAGAAAUGUAAGUGCGCUAAUAUCGCAUUUAUUUGACGAAGGCUCCAAAGGAAGCCACGGCUAACUCUGUGCCAGCAGCCGCGGUAAUACAGAGGUGGCAAGCGUUGUUCGGAAUUAUUGGGCGUAAAGAGCACGUAGGUGGGUUCGUAAGUCAGAUGUGAAAGCCUUCUGUUCAACGGAAGAAUUGCAUCUGAAACUACAAGUCUUGAGUGUAGGAGGGGAGAAUGGAACUUCUGGUGGAGCGGUGAAAUGCGUAGAUAUCAGAAGGAACGCCGGCGGCGAAAGCGAUUCUCUGGCCUAUUACUGACACUCAGUGUGCGAAAGCUAGGGGAGCAAACGGGAUUAGAUACCCCGGUAGUCCUAGCCGUAAACGAUGGGCACUAAGUAGAGGGGUUUU